CUCAUCUUGUGAACCUUCAGGAGGGAACAAGUGAUUUAGGAUCUGAAGGACACCUAAUUCAAUGCUGUCCAAAAUUUGGUAGCUGCCUGUUGUUGGUGCAGAUCUGAAGAUGCAGUGCAUGUGCUCAGAGAAAUAGAACAUCAUGCCAUGCUACAUACUUCAGCUGUCCAGAAGCACUAAUUGUGUGGCUGACUGAGAGCAUGCAGGAACAGCAGCACUUGCAGUGGAAGGGAAACCCAGAUCUCCCAGGUACCAGACGGGCAUCUCCUCCAGGGAUUGCUGGUUUUGGUCUGGUUGCUGUGUGAUGCUCAACUCUUCUGUUCCUGAAACGGAGCCUGUGCUGCAGCUUGCUGCAGCUGAUGGAGAGAACCCCAGCAUUUUGGAGGAGCCUCUCAAGAUGCUGAUGUUCUUCAUGGCCGUGGGCAGGGCAGUCUGUCCACUUGAAGACCUGCCCAAAAGGGUGACUGCUGCCCAACACCAUCUUUGUUCAGGUAGUUACACUGCCUCGAUCAUAGCAACACUGGAGCUCUUCAAGACGUGUAUCAUCACAAGACUUGAAUUUAUCUUCUUGGCUCUCCCUUCUUCCUCGUCCCUGAGAUGAUAACAGAGCAGCUGGGAUCUCCUGUCAAGGACCAAGGUGCAGUUGGUACCUUCCUAGGUGGUGGUGGAGAGCAGGGCAGAUGGGGUCUGGUGUGAUGCACUAACUCAGCCAAAGCUAGAGAUGGCCAUGGCCUGCACAAGCCGAGGCAGGCUGGAGGAGAUCAAAACCAACAGGAGAAGGAUGUGGUUAGUGUUUUCUGCAACAAGACGUCAGCUGAAGGAUGAGAACCGUGUACCAAGAGGAAAGAGUUGCCAUAGAUGGAUGAAGACUGUCCCUUUCAAAUGUGAAGCAUAGCUAGCCCAAACCAGAUCCCCAUUCUCCUUGGGGAUCAACCAGCAGAGAUGCAGAGAGAA